UUACGGCCAUAUCACGUUGAAAGAUCGGUUCCCGUACGAACACUCAAGUUAAGCAACAUCGAGCCUGGUCCGUGUACAUUAAUGGGUGACUCUUGGGAAUACUAUGAGCUGUAA